rnacentral:ncRNA from 1 species
UUACUUAAAGUUGUUUUUGACUUUGAGUCAUACCAUUAAAUUAUUUUACCAAACAUUAAAUAGGUAGGACGGCAUGCCUUGGACCUGUUUUCAAACUUUAAAUAGGUAGGACAACACGAUAUCUCUAUUGAGCCGCACCAUGGAAUCAGAGCUCCAAGUGGACAUUUUUGGUAAGCAUAACUGGUGAUGUGGGAUGAAUUAGAAGUUGGGUUAUGGUCCCCAAUUGCGUGCCAACCUAGAACUCACAGAGUGUUGGAAAUCCACUAAGGAGUGUUUAACAAUUCACUUGCAAAAUCAACUAGUCCCGGAAAUGGAUGGCAUUGAAGCGUGUGACCUAUACCUGACCCUCAAGGCAAGAGCUAGGCCUCGAUGAGUAGGAUGGUGAGGUGGUUGCUGCAAAACCUGGGGUGCAAGCUCGGGGGCCAUGUGUG